rnacentral:rRNA from 1 species
UACGAAGGGGGCUAGCGUUGCUCGGAAUCACUGGGCGUAAAGCGCACGUAGGCGGACUCUUAAGUCGGUGGUGAAAUCCUGGAGCUCAACUCCAGAACUGCCUUCGAUACUGGGAGUCUCGAGUCCGGGAGAGGUGAGUGGAACUGCGAGUGUAGAGGUGAAAUUCGUAGAUAUUCGCAAGAACACCAGUGGCGAAGGCGGCUCACUGGUCCAUUACUGACGCUGAGGUGCGAAAGCGUGGGGAGCAAACAGG